rnacentral:lncRNA from 1 species
ACGAUGAUCUCGGCCUUCUUGAUCCAGCAAGAGAGACGUAGAGGUAGAUGAGUUCUCCGGCAGCAUGAUGGCGCUCCGGAGGUUGGUGGUGAUCUAAUCUCAGCAGGGCUCCGCCCGAGCUCCGCAGAAACGCGAUCUAGAGGUAAAACCGUGGAGGUAUGUGGUCGGGCUGCCGUGGCAAAAGUUGUCUCAAAUCAGCCCUAAAACCCCAAUAUAUAUAGGAGGGAGGGAGGGGAGGAGGCAGCCUCAAAACCUAAAGGUUUGGCCGAAAUUGGAGGUGGAGGAGUCCUACUCCAAUCCUACUUGGAGUAGGAUUCCACUUUCCCACUUGGAAACUCUUUCCACCUUGUGUUUUUUCCUUCUCAAACCUUAUGGGCCUUAGUGGGAACUUAUUUCAGCCCACUAGGGGCUGGUUUAUCUAUUCCCAUAGCCCAUGAGACCCCUUGGGGCGUGACACCCCUCCUGAUGGUCCCCGGCACCCCUCCCGGCACUCCCAGUACACUACCGAUGAGCCCGAAACUUUUCUCGUAAUGCACGAAAACCUUUCGGUACCCAAAUGAGGUCAUCCUAUAUAUCAAUCUUCGUUUCCGGACCAUUCCGGAAACUCUCGUGACGUCCAUGAUCUCAUCCGGGACUGCGAACAACAUUCGGUAACCAACCAUAUAACUCAAAUACGCAUAAAACAACGUCGAACCUUAAGUGUGCACACCCCGUGGGCUCGAGAACUAUGUAGACAUGACCCGAGUGACUCCUCAGUCAAUAUCCAAUAGCGGGACCUGGAUGCCCAUAUUGGAUCCUACAUAUUCUACGAAGAUCUUAUCGUUUGAACCUUAGUGCCAAGGAUUCAUAUAAUCUCGUAUGUCAUUCCCUUUGUCCUUCGGUAUGUUACUUGCCCGAGAUUCGAUCGUCAGUAUCCGCAUACCUAUUUCAAUCUCGUUUACCAGGCAAGUCUCUUUACUCGUUCCGUAAUACAAGAUCCCGCAACUUACACUAAGUCACAUUGCUUGCAAGGCUUGUGUGUGAUGUUGUAUUACCGAGUGGGCCCCGUGAUACCUCUCCGUCACACGGAGUGACAAAUCCAAGUCUCGAUCCAUACUAACUCAACGAACACCUUCGGAGAUACCUGUAGAGCAUCUUUAUAGUCACCCAGUUACGUUGCGACGUUUGAUACACACCAAGCAUUCCUCCGGUGUCAGUGAGUUAUAUGAUCUCAUGGUCAUAGGAACAAAUACUUGACACGCAGAAAACAGUAGCAACAAAAUGACACGAUCAACAUGCUACGUCUAUUAGUUUGGGUCUAGUCCAUCACAUGAUUCUCCUAAUGAUGUGAUCCCGUUUUCAAGUGACAACACUUGCCUAUGGUCAGGAAACCUUGACCAUCUUUGAUCAACGAUCUAGUCAACUAGAGGCUUACUAGGGACAGUGUUUUGUCUAUGUAUCCACACAUGCAGUGUGUUUCCAAUCAAUACAAUUAUAGCAUGGAUAAUAAACGAUUAUCAUGAACAAAGAAAUAUAAUAAUAACUAAUUUAUUAUUGCCUCUAGGGCAUAUUUCCAACAGUCUCCCACUUUCACUAGAGUCAGUAAUCUAGUUCACAUCACUAUGUGAUUCCAACGAAUCCAACACCCAUAUAGUUAUGGAGUCUGAUCACGUCUUGCUCGUGAGAGAGGUUUUAGUCAACGGUUCUGAAAUUUCAGAUCCGUGUGUUCUUUACAAAUCUUUAUGUCAUCUUAUAGAUGCUGCUACUAUGUGCUAUUCGGAAAUACUCCAAAUAUCUACUCUACUAUACGAAUCCGUUUCACUACUCAUAGUUAUUCGGAUUCAUGUCAAUGCUUGCAUCGACGUAACCCUUUACGACAAACUUUUUAACCAUCUCCAUAAUCGAGAAAAAUUCCUUAGUCCAUUAGUUACUAAGGAUAAAUUUUGACCGCUGCUAGUGAUUCAAUCAUGGAUCACUCUUUGUACCUCUCAACAGACUUUGAGUCAAGGCACACAUCAGGUGCGGUACCCAGCAUGGCAUACUUCAGAUUCUACGACCAAGGCAUAGAAGAUGACCUUCGUCUAUUCUCUUUAUUCUGCCGGGGUCGGGUUUUGAGUCUUACUCAAAUUCACACCUCACAACGCAACCAAGAACUCCUUCUUUGCUGAUAUGUUUUGAACUUCUUCAAAAACUUGUCAAGGCAUGCAUUUUGUUGAAACUUCUAAUAAGCGCUUUCGAUCUAUCUCCAUAGAUCUUUGAUGCUCAACGUUCAAUUAGCGCAAUCCAGGUAUUCCUUUGAAAACUCCUUUCAAACAACCUUGUAUGCUUUACAGAAAUUCUACAUUACUUCUGAUCCACAAUAUGUCAACCACAUAUACUUAUCAGAAAUUCUAUAGUGCUCCCACUCACUUCUUUGGAAAUACAAGUUUCUCAUAAACCUUGUACAAACCCAAAAUCUUUGAUCAUCUCAUCAAAGUGUAUAUUCCAACCCCGAGAUGCUUGCACCAGUCCAUUGAAGGAUCGCUGGAGCUUGCAUACUUGCUAGUAUCUUUAGGAUCGACAAAACCUCCUCGUUGUAUCACAUACAAUGUUUGCUCAAGGAAACCGUCGAGGAAACAAUGUUUUGACAUCCUAUGUGCAAUAUUUCAUAAGUAAUGCAGCAACUACUAACAUAAUUCUAACAAACUUUUAGCAUCGCUACGAGUGAGAAAGGCUCAUCAUAGUCAACUGUUUGAUCUUGUCGGAAACAUCUUUGCGACAAAUCGAGCUUUUCUUAAUAGUGACUUAUCACCAUCAUCGUCUGUCUUCCUUUUAAAGAUCCAUCUUUACUCAAUAGUCCUAUGACCAUCAAGUAGUUCGUCCAAAGUCUACACUUUGUUUUCAUACAUGGAUCCUCUCUCGGAUUUCAUGGCUUCCAGCCAUUUGUCGAAAUCCGUACCCACCAUUGCUUCUCCAUAACUCGUAGGUUCACUGUUGCUCAACAACAUGACCUCCAAGACAGGGUUACCGUACCACUCUGCAGUAGUACGCGACCUUGUCAACCUAUGAGGCUUGUAGUAACUUGAUCCGAUGCUCGAUGAUCACCAUCAUCAGCUUUCACUUCAAUUGGUGUAGGCGCCACAGGAACAACUUCCUGCGCCCUGCUACACACUGGUUGAAGUGAUGGUUCAAUAACCUCAUCAAGUUCUACCACCCUCCCACUCAAUUCUUUCGAGAGAAACCUUUCCUCGAGAAAGGAUCCGUUUCUAGAAACAAACACUUUGCUUUCGGAUCUGAGAUAGGAGAUGUACCCAACUGUUUUGGAUAUCCUAUGAAGAUGCAUUUAUCCGCUUUGGGUUCGAGCUUAUCAGACUGAAACUUUUUCACAUAAGUGUCGAAGCCCCAAACUUUCAAGAAACGACAGUUUAGAUUUCUCUAAACCUCAGUCUAUACUGUGUCAUCUCAACGGAAAUACGCGGUGCCCUAUUUAAAGUGAAUGUGGUUGUCUCUAAUGCAUAACCCAUAAACGAUAGUGGUAAUUCCAUAAGAGACAUCAUAGCAUGCACCAUACCAAAUAGUGCGUGGCUAUGACGUUCAGACACAUCAUCACACUAUGAUGUUCCAGGUGGCAUGAACUACGAAACAAUUUCCACAUUGUCUUAACUCCGUACCAAAACUCGUAACUCAUAUAUUUAUUUCUAUGAUCAUAUCGUAGACAGUUUAUCCUCUUGUUACGACGAACUUCACUCCUGAAAUAGAAUUGAACCUUUCAAUAUUUCAGUCUUGUGAUUCAUUAAGUAAAUACUCUCGUAUCUGCUCAAAUCGUCAUUGAAGUAAGAACAUAAUGAUAUCCACUGCGUGCCUCAGCACCUAUUGGACUGCAUACAUCAAAAUGUAUCACUUCCAAGAAGUUACUAUCUUGUUUCAUCUCAAUGAAAACAAGGCCUUGCUCAUGUGGUAUGAUUUGCAUGUCACUAGUGAUUCAAAAUCAAGUGAGUAUAAAGAUCCAUUGGCAUGGAGCCUCUUCAUGAAAUUUAUACCAACAUGACUCAAGCGGCAGUGCCACAAGUAAGUGGUACUAUCAUCAUUACCUUGUAUCUUUUGGCACCAAUAUCAUGAACAUGUGUGACACUACGAUCGAUAUUCAAUAAACCAUUGAAGGUGAUUAUUCAAGCAAAUAGAGUAACCAUUAUUCUCUUUAAAUGAAUAAUAGUAUUGCAAUAAACACGAUCCAAUCAUGUUCAUGCUUAACGCAAGCACCAAAUAACAAUUAUUUAGGUUUAACACCAAUCCCGAUGGUAGAGGGAGCGUGCGACGUUUGAUAAUAUCAACCUUGGAAACACUUCCAACACGUAUCGUCACCUCGCCUUUAGCUAGUCUCCGUUUAUGCCGUAGCUUUCAUUUUGUGUUACUAAUUACUUAGCAACUGAACCGGUAUCCAAUACCCUCGUGCUACUAGGAGUACUACUAAAGUACACAUCAACAUCAUGUAUAACAAAUAUACUUCUUUUGACUUUUGCCAACCUUCUUAUCUACCAAGUAUCUAGAGUUGCUCCGCCUCAGUGACCGUUCCCCUCAUAACAGAAGCACUUAGUCCCGGGCUUGGGUUUAAUCUGUGGUCUCUUCAUUAAUGCAGCAACUGCUUUGCCGUUUCACGAAGUAUCCCUUCUAGCCCUUGCCUUUCUCGAAACUUAGUGGUUUUACUAACCAUCAACUAUUGAUGCUCCUUCUUGAUUUCUACUCUCGCAGUGUCAAACAUCGCGAAUCGCUCAAGGAUCAUUGUAUCUAUCCUUUAUAUGUUAUAGUUCAUCACGAAGCUCUCACAGCUUGGUGGCAGUGACUUUGGAGAACCAUCACUAUCUUAUCUGGAAGAUCAACUCCCACUUGAUUCAAGCGAUUGUCGUACUCAGAUAAUCUGAGCACACGCUCAAUGAUUGAGCUUUUCUCCUUUACUUCGUGGACAAAGAAUCUUGUCGAAGGUCUCAUACCUCUUAACAAGGGCACAAGCAUGAAAUCAAAAUUUCAUCUCUUUAGAACAUCUCUUAUGUUCCGUGACGUUUCAAAACGUCUUCGACGCCUUGCUUCUAAGCCAUUAAGUAUUUUGUACUGAACUAUCGUGUAGUCAUCAGAAACGUGUAUGUCGGAUGUUCAUAACAUCUACAGACGACGCUUGAGGUGCAACACACCGAGUGGUGCAUUAAGGACAUAAGCCUUCUGCGCAGCAACGAGGACAAUCCUUAGUUUUACAGACUCAGUCCGCAAAGUUUGCUACUAUCAACAUUCAACUAAAUUUUCUCUAGGAACAUAUUAAAAACAGUAGAGCUAUAGCGCAAGCUACAUCGUAAUUCGCAAAGACCAUUAGACUAUGUUCAUGACAAUUAGUUCAAUUAAUCAUAUUACUUGAGAACUCCCACUCAAAAAGUACAUCUCUCUAGUCAUUUGAGUGGUACAUGAUCCAAAUCCACUAUCUCAAGUCCGAUCAUCACGUGAGUCGAGAAUAGUUUUAGUGGUAAGCAUCUCUAUGCUAAUCAUAUCAACUAUAUGAUUCAUGCUCGACCCUUCGGUCUCAUGUGUUCCGAGGCCAUGUCUGCACAUGCUAGGCUCGUCAAGCUUAACCCGAGUGUUCCGCGUGUGCAACUGUUUUGCACCCGUUGUAUGUGAACGUUGAGUCUAUCACACCCGAUCAUCACGUGGUGUCUCGAAACAAAGAACUGUCGCAACGGUGCACAGUCGGGGAGAACACAAUUUCGUCUUGAAAUUUUAGUGAGAGAUCACCUCAUAAUGCUACCGUCGUUCUAAGCAAGAUAAGGUGCAUAAAGCAUUAACAUCACAUACAAUUCAUAAGUGACAUGAUAUGGCCAUCAUCAUGUGCUUCUUGAUCUCCAUCACCAAAGCACCGACACGAUCUUCUUGUCACCGGCGUCACACCAUGAUCUCCAUCAUCAUGAUCUCCAUCAACGUGUCGCCAUCGGGGUUGUCGUGCUACUCAUGCUAUUACUACUAAAGCUACGUCCUAGCAAUAUAGUAAACACAUCUGCAAGCACAAACGUUAGUUUAAAGACAAACCUAUGGCUCCUGCCGGUUGCCGUACCAUCGACGUGCAAGUCGAUAUUAACUAUUACAACAUUAUCAUCUCAUACAUCCAAUAUAUCACAUCACAUCAUUGGCCAUAUCACAUCACAAGCAUACCCUGCAAAAACAAGUUAGACGUCCUCUAAUUGUUGUUGCAUGUUUUACGUAGUGACCAUGGGUAUCUAGUAGGAUCGCAUCUUACUUAGGCAAACACCACAACGGAGAUAUAUGAAUUGCUAUUUAACCUCAUCCAAGGACCUCCUCGGUCAAAUCCGAUUCAACUAAAGUUGGAGAAACCGACACUCGCCGGUCAUCUUUGAGCAACGGAGUUACUCGUAGCGAUGAAACCAGUCUCUCGUAAGCGUACGAGUAAUGUCGGUCCGAGCCGCUUCGACCCAACAAUACCGCGGAAUCAAGAAAAGACUAAGGAGGGCAGCAAAACGCACAUCACCGCCCACAAAAACUUUUGUGUUCUACUCGAGAUUACAUCUACGCAUGAACCUACCUCAUGAUGCCACUGUUAGGGAACGUCGCAUGGGAACCAAAAAUUUCCUACGCGCACGAAGACAUAUCAUGGUGAUGUCCAUCUACGAGAGGGGAUUUCCGAUCUACGUACCCUUGUAGAUCGCACAGCAGAAGUGUUAAUAAACGCGGUUGAUGUAGUGGAACGUCCUCACGUCCCUCGAUCCACCCCGCGAACUGUCCCACGAACCGUCCCGCGAUCCGCUCCGAUCUAGUGCCGAACGGACGGCACCUCCGCUUUCAGCACACGUACAGCUCGGCGAUGAUCUCGGCCUUCUUGAUCCAGCAAGAGAGACGGAGAGGUAGAUGAGUUCUUCGGCAGCAUGACAGCGCUCCGGAGGUUGGUGGUGAUCUAAUCUCAGCAGGGCUCCGCCCGAGCUCCGUAGAAACGCGAUCUAGAGGUAAAACCGUGGAGGUACGUGGUCGGGCUGCCGUGGCAAAAGUUGUCUCAAAUCAGCCCUAAAACCCCACUAUAUAUAGGAGGGAGGGAGGGGAGGAGGCA